UUUACCCCCUAUUCACUUUUUGCAAUUUGGACAUCCGGGUCCUGGGUUACAUUCAGAUGACUCUCCUGAAGCUUGUUUGCCUGUAGAGCAGAUCAACGAACACCGUCAUGUUCGUAUCCCCUUUUGUUAUGGGUGACAUAUUAGUCUGUAGCUCCCAUGGUUUGAUCUGGACAGUCGAUUUUGUGAAAAGACCUCUUCUAAAUCAGGAUUUCUGCUACAAAGCGUUCAGACGACUGCCCCUAAAUCGUAUGGAUGUCAUAGAGCCAAACAACCGACUGUCGCGCUCGUCGGAAAUGCCUGUAGUCCACCGCGAUAGGUGCAUACCUGUCUACCCGCAGAUAGGGUUUCCUGCAUGACCUACUUAAAAGCGGCCCAUCCUCUCUGCUGCGGUCUCUCUCCAUCUCCGGUCUCUCUCCAUCUCCGACCGCUAAAGAGCAAUGAGGAACCCACAAUCGUCCAUCCUGCUCUCAUUUCUCGGUGAGUUAAUGGCAUCAGUUAAAUUUAAAAAAAAAGUUACAUUUAGUCUCAGAUAAAUGGACAAGUAUAAAGCAACUGUGUAAAAGUACAAUGUCAUUUAGAGAGGCGCAAACUUGAGCCAUUACGCGCGUCAGAAAACAAAUCGCUUCAGCCUAUGUGAUUACAUGUUCACUGGCUACGCACUUUUUUUUUUGUAAUGACUUGUUUUUAGAAAAGGAUAGAUAUAGAGAAAUAUUCACAGCGUCAAUUGACAUCGUCCAUUUUAAGGUGUGAAAAGUUGAAAUAGCCUAAUCCUGUAAGAAUGCAGUGAUGUACGCCAUAGGGGACUACAUACAUCACGUCUCAGAGCAUGGUGUACUGUAGAAGUGAUUGUGCUUCCUCAUACCUAUGGCUUCUCUGAGACAUUCCUGUCUCAAAUGGAAAUAUGGGGAGGGACUGGCUGCAUAAAUUAUACAUACAAGAAGGCUUGUGCAUCCACACUAUUCCAUUUUACCCAAUGUGACUUCUGAUGACUUUUUCUACCUGACAUUAUACAUUUGAAUGAAUGAGUAAAUGUAAUUACAUUUUCUUGUCAAAUCACCAGUUGGCAACCCACCCGUAAUGGGAUUAAUUUACACAUAAACAAACAUUGCAAUAAUUCAGUGAUUUAAAAAAAAUAUAUAU
rnacentral:lncRNA from 1 species